rnacentral:rRNA from 1 species
GAUGAACGCUGGCGGCGUGCUUAACACAUGCAAGUCGAACGGGAAACCUUUUAAUGAAGCUUCGGCAGAUUUAGCUGGUUUCUAGUGGCGGACGGGUGAGUAACGCGUGGGUAACCUGCCUUAUACAGGGGGAUAACAGUCAGAAAUGACUGCUAAUACCGCAUAAGCGCACAGGACCGCAUGGUCCGGUGUGAAAAACUCCGGUGGUAUAAGAUGGACCCGCGUUGGAUUAGCUUGUUGGUGGGGUAACGGCUCACCAAGGCGACGAUCCAUAGCCGGCCUGAGAGGGUGAACGGCCACAUUGGGACUGAGACACGGCCCAGACUCCUACGGGAGGCAGCAGUGGGGAAUAUUGCACAAUGGGGGAAACCCUGAUGCAGCGACGCCGCGUGAAGGAAGAUGUAUCUCGGUAUGUAAACUUCUAUCAGCAGGGAAGAUAGUGACGGUACCUGACUAAGAAGCCCCGGCUAACUACGUG